rnacentral:rRNA from 1 species
UAGAGUUUGAUCCUGGCUCAGGAUGAACGCUGGCGGCGUGCUUAACACAUGCAAGUCGAACGAUUAAAGCUCUCUUCGGAGAGUGUAUAAAGUGGCGAACGGGUGAGUAACACGUGGGCAAUCUGCCCCUCACACUGGGAUAACCCGAGGAAACUCGAGCUAAUACCGGAUACUCCGGGAUGACCGCAUGGUCGACCCGGGAAAGCUCCGACGGUGAGGGAUGAGCCCGCGGCCCAUUAGCUUGUUGGUAGGGUAACGGCCUACCAAGGCGACGAUGGGUAGCCGACCUGAGAGGGUGAUCGGCCACACUGGGACUGAGACACGGCCCAGACUCCUACGGGAGGCAGCAGUGGGGAAUCUUGCACAAUGGGCGAAAGCCUGAUGCAGCAACGCCGCGUGCGGGAUGAAGGCCUUCGGGUUGUAAACCGCUUUCAGCAGGGAUGAAAUUGACAGUACCUGCAGAAGAAGCCCCGGCUAACUACGUGCCAGCAGCCGCGGUAAUA